GAUGAACGCUGGCGGCGUGCUUAAUACAUGCAAGUCGAGCGAACAGACGCGGAGUUUGCUCCUUUGACGUUAGCGGAGGACGGGUGAGUAACAUGUGUAUAACCCACCUAUAAGACUGGGAUCAUCUCGGGACACCGGAGCUAAUCCCGGAUAAUAUCUUGAACCGUAUGGUUCAAUAGUGAAAGACGGCUUUGCUGUCACUACUAGAUGGUUAUGAGCCGGUUUGGCUGGUUGGUAAGGUAAAGGUUUACGAAGGGAACGAUGCGUGGGCGACGUGCGAGAGGGGUCGGCCACCCGGGAACUGGAACACGCUCCAUGCUCCUGCGGUAGGCAGCAGAAGGGAAUCUUCCGCAAUGGUCGAGAGCCUGACGCAGCAACGCCACGUGAGUUGUGAAGGUCUUGGGUUCGUAAAACUCUGUUAUUAGGGAAAAACAAAUGUGUAAGGAACUGUGCACGUCUUGACGGUACCUGGUCAAAAAGCCACGGCUAACUACGUG
rnacentral:rRNA from 1 species